rnacentral:rRNA from 1 species
CAGAGGAGCCAAGCGUUGUCCGGAUUGACUGGGCGUAAAGCGCACGCAGGCGGUUCGGUGCGUGGGGUGUGAAAGCGGCAGGCUUAACUUGCCGAGGCCACCUCAUACGGCCGAACUCGAGCCCUGCAGAGGUCCACGGAAUUGCCGGUGUAGUGGUGAAAUGCGUAGAGAUCGGCAGGAACACCCAGGGGGAAACCAGUGGACUGGGCAGGGGCUGACGCUCAGGUGCGAAAGCGUGGGGAGCGAACCGGAUUAGAUACCCGGGUAGUCCACGCCGUAAACGAUGAAUACUCGGCAUCUGGUGGGCGAUUCUCGUCGGCCGGGUGCCCCAGCUAACGCGGUAAGUAUUCCGCCUGGGAACUACGAGCGCAAGCUUA